rnacentral:ncRNA from 2 species
UUAAAUAAUUAAUUUAAAAGUGCCCGAAGCGUCAUGCUCGGGAUAAUAGGGAAAUCGGUGAAAGUCCGAUGCAGCCCCCGCUACUGUAACGCUGAUGAAAUUGUCAAAAACCACUGGUUUAAAAACUGGGAAGGGACAAGAGUAAAUAGAAGCGUAAGCCAGGAGACCUGCUUUUAAAUGUGAACGAUA